rnacentral:rRNA from 1 species
GAUGAACGCUGGCGGCGUGCCUAAUACAUGCAAGUCGAGCGAACAGACGAGGAGCUUGCUCCUCUGACGUUAGCGGCGGACGGGUGAGUAACACGUGGAUAACCUACCUAUAAGACUGGGAUAACUUCGGGAAACCGGAGCUAAUACCGGAUAAUAUAUUGAACCGCAUGGUUCAAUAGUGAAAGACGGUUUUGCUGUCACUUAUAGAUGGAUCCGCGCCGCAUUAGCUAGUUGGUAAGGUAACGGCUUACCAAGGCGACGAUGCGUAGCCGACCUGAGAGGGUGAUCGGCCACACUGGAACCGAGACACGGUCCAGACUCCUACGGGAGGCAGCAGUAGGGAAUCUUCCGCAAUGGGCGAAAGCCUGACGGGGCAACGCCGCGUGAGUGAUGAAGGUCUUCGGAUCGUAAAACUCUGUUAUUAGGGAAGAACAAAUGUGUAAGUAACUAUGCACGUCUUGACGGUACCUAAUCAGAAAGCCACGGCUAACUACGUG